rnacentral:rRNA from 1 species
AGAGUUUGAUCAUGGCUCAGAACGAACGCUGGCGGCAGGCUUAACACAUGCAAGUCGAACGCACCGCAAGGUGAGUGGCAGACGGGUGAGUAACGCGUGGGAACCUUCCCUAUGGUACGGGAUAACUUCGGGAAACCGAAGCUAAUACCGUAUAUCUCCUCCGGGAGAAAGAUUUAUCGCCAUAGGAUGGGCCCGCGUUGGAUUAGCUAGUUGGUAGGGUAAUGGCCUACCAAGGCAACGAUCCAUAGCUGGUCUGAGAGGAUGAUCAGCCACACUGGGACUGAGACACGGCCCAGACUCCUACGGGAGGCAGCAGUGGGGAAUAUUGGACAAUGGGCGCAAGCCUGAUCCAGCCAUGCCGCGUGAGUGAAGAAGGCCUUAGGGUUGUAAAGCUCUUUCGCUAGGGACGAUAAUGACGGUACCUAGAUAAGAAGCCCCGGCUAACUUCGUGCCAGCAGCCGCGGUAAUACGAAGGGGGCUAGCGUUGUUCGGAAUCACUGGGCGUAAAGCGCACGCAGGCGGAUUGAUAAGUCAGGGGUGAAAUCCCGAGGCUCAACCUCGGAAUUGCCUUUGAUACUGUCUAUCUUCGAGUUCGGGAGAGGUUGGCGGAAUUCCUAGUGUAGAGGUGAAAUUCGUAGAUAUUAGGAAGAACACCAGUGGCGAAGGCGGCCAACUGGCCCGAUACUGACGCUCAUGUGCGAAAGCGUGGGGAGCAAACAGGAUUAGAUACCCUAGUAGUCC